AUUGAACGCUGGCGGCAGGCCUAACACAUGCAAGUCGAGCGGAUGAAGGGAGCUUGCUCCUGGAUUCAGCGGCGGACGGGUGAGUAAUGCCUAGGAAUCUGCCUGGUAGUGGGGGAUAACGUCCGGAAACGGGCGCUAAUACCGCAUACGUCCUGAGGGAGAAAGUGGGGGAUCUUCGGACCUCACGCUAUCAGAUGAGCCUAGGUCGGAUUAGCUAGUUGGUGGGGUAAAGGCCUACCAAGGCGACGAUCCGUAACUGGUCUGAGAGGAUGAUCAGUCACACUGGAACAGAGACACGGGCCAGACUCAUACGGGAGGCAGCAGUGGGGAAUAUUGGACGAUGGGCGAAAGCCUGAUCCAGCCAUGCCGCGGGUGUGAAGAAGGUCUUCGGAUUGUAAAGCACUUUAAGUUGGGAGGAAGGGCAGUAAGUUAAUACCUUGCUGUUUUGACGUUACCAACAGAAUAAGCACCGGCUAACUUCGU
rnacentral:rRNA from 1 species